rnacentral:lncRNA from 1 species
CGAGGAGGCCAAGGUGGUGGAGGAGCCAGCUGCCCCGGCGGAGCCCGAGCCUGUCGCCGCUGAGCCUGAGGCCGAGCCUGCCGCCGCGGAGCCGGAGGCGGCACCUGCUGCGGCCGCGGCGGAAGAAGAGGCGCCAAAGGAGGCGGAGCCGGCCGCGGUCGAGGAGGUCAAGGAGGAGGAGGCUGCGGCGCCCGCUGCCGAGACAGAGCCGGCGGCCGCCGAGCCCGAGGCUGCUGCUCCUGCUCCUGCUGCUGCCGAGGAGCCCGCCGCGGCCGAGCCGGCCGCCGAGGAGCCCGAGAAGGCCAGCGAGUGAGGCCUCCUCGGCGGCGGCCAAGGGAUCGGAGUGAGAUGGCUCAUCGUGCGCGCGUACAUGCCACGGGCUUUUGCUGUUGAGUACGCUACGGUUACUGGCGUUUCUCUACGUACCUAGCAGUGG